rnacentral:rRNA from 1 species
AUGCGGGUCAGUCACUGGCGGCAGGGUUGCGAGGAGGCGAAACAGAGGGCGUGGAGGCCGGAGGUGGUCCUCAUCGAUGAUGGAAGGACGCAGGCGCGAGCGGGAUGUUGGGUGCCCGUCGCAUGGGAGCUUCGUGGUGGUACUAUGGUGGGGACACGGGGUCGAGCUGCGGCUGCUCACGUGCUCCGGCAUGGGCGGAACUAG